rnacentral:rRNA from 1 species
UGCAAGUCGAACGGUGAAGCAGAGCUUGCUCUGUGGAUCAGUGGCGAACGGGUGAGUAACACGUGAGCAACCUGCCCCUGACUCUGGGAUAAGCGCUGGAAACGGCGUCUAAUACUGGAUAUGAGCUGCGACCGCAUGGUCAGCAGUUGGAAAGAUUUUUCGGUCUGGGAUGGGCUCACGGCCUAUCAGCUUGUUGGUGAGGUAAUGGCUCACCAAGGCGUCGACGGGUAGCCGGCCUGAGAGGGUGACCGGCCACACUGGGACUGAGACACGGCCCAGACUCCUACGGGAGGCAGCAGUGGGGAAUAUUGCACAAUGGGCGAAAGCCUGAUGCAGCAACGCCGCGUGAGGGAUGACGGCCUUCGGGUUGUAAACCUCUUUUAGCAGGGAAGAAGCGAAAGUGACGGUACCUGCAGAAAAAGCGCCGGCUAACUACGUGCCAGCAGCCGCGGUAAUACGUAGGGCGCAAGCGUUAUCCGGAAUUAUUGGGCGUAAAGAGCUCGUAGGCGGUUUGUCGCGUCUGCUGUGAAAUCCCGAGGCUCAACCUCGGGUCUGCAGUGGGUACGGGCAGACUAGAGUGCGGUAGGGGAGAUUGGAAUUCCUGGUGUAGCGGUGGAAUGCGCAGAUAUCAGGAGGAACACCGAUGGCGAAGGCAGAUCUCUGGGCCGUUACUGACGCUGAGGAGCGAAAGGGUGGGGAGCAAACAGGCUUAGAUACCCUGGUAGUCCACCCCGUAAACGUUGGGAACUAGUUGUGGGGUCCAUUCCACGGAUUCCGUGACGCAGCUAACGCAUUAAGUUCCCCGCCUGGGGAGUACGGCCGCAAGGCUAAAACUCAAAGGAAUUGACGGGGACCCGCACAAGCGGCGGAGCAUGCGGAUUAAUUCGAUGCAACGCGAAGAACCUUACCAAGGCUUGACAUAUACGAAGAACGGGCCAGAAAUGGUCAACUCUUUUGGACACUCGUAAACAGGUGGUGCAUGGUUGUCGUCAGCUC